rnacentral:tRNA from 1 species
AUUUAAAUAGCUUAAAAUAAAAGUUUAAUAUUGAAAAUAUUAAGAUAAUUCAAAAUUUUUAAAUA